rnacentral:rRNA from 1 species
GAUGAACGCUGGCGGCGUGCCUAAUACAUGCAAGUCGAGCGAACAGACGAGGAGCUUGCUCCUCUGACGUUAGCGGCGGACGGGUGAGUAACACGUGGAUAACCUACCUAUAAGACUGGGAUAACUUCGGGAAACCGGAGCUAAUACCGGAUAAUAUAUUGAACCGCAUGGUUCAAUAGUGAAAGACGGUUUUGCUGUCACUUAUAGAUGGAUCCGCGCCGCAUUAGCUAGUUGGUAAGGUAACGGCUUACCAAGGCGACGAUGCGUAGCCGACCUGAGAGGGUGAUCGGACACACUGGAACUGAGACACGGUCCAGACUCCUACGGGAGGCAGCAGUAGGGAAUCUUCCGCAAAGGGCGAAAGCCUGACGGGGCAACGCCGCGUGAGUGAUGAAGGUCUUCGGAUCGUAAAACUCUGUUAUUAGGGAAGAACAAAUGUGUAAGUAACUAUGCACGUCUUGACGGUACCUAAUCAGAAAGCCACGGCUAACUACGUG